CAAAUAUGGAAGAAAUAAAGGCUAUUGUAGAUUUGAUUGAAGAGGCGGUGGACGCUGAGAUGGAACUUCAUUAAGUACAUAGAAGGGAAACAUGGCCAACCCAAUGGAAGGAAAUCCUGCAACUCUGUUGGACUUUUGUAGCUAAGCAAAUGGACCUACAUUUGAAUUUGAGGAUUUCGCUUAUUAAAGGAGCAAAAGAUAAUAAUUCAAGUGAUAGGGUAAGUUUCCCUACUGUUUACAAAUG